CCAGAGUUUUAUUCAGUUGCAGUCUACUCAGCAGUGAGAAAAGCAGGAGACGUCAGUUAUGGACAAUUAGCCGUCAGACCACACGGGACAAGAGGAAGUUGUAGCCAAAAAAAGGACGCAAGAGGAUUUGGCAAAGAAACACAGAUGUUGGAGGAAACAUUGAGAAAAAUAACGAUUGAAGAUUGUUGCAGUUAAAGGUUAAAGCACAUGUAUCUCAUUCAACAUGGUAGCUUGCCAACUUUCACAUGAUGCCAUUUUUCCUGACGGAUAGUUGCUGCUGUUAGUCCACAUGAGAUGACGAUUCUACACUACUGUCCUUUGUCAUAAAUGCAGGUUCACUCACCUCCGUUCCGUCAGCUGGGCUCGCCACCCUGCCCUCUCCCCUCAGACCUCCCGGCGUCUCCCCGUGCCUCCUUCCCUAAAGAAAAACUUUAUGAACACUGUUCUGAAUUCCCAUAUUCUGCCAGCAGGUGGCAUUGUUGCAUAAUAGAUGGUCUGGAAACUCGGUCAGGCAGUGAGUAAGUUAUUCCAAGUGUUACCUAAGGCAUAAAAGACAAAGGAUGCCAAAAUCCCUGUUCCCGUGUCAUUCUCUGAUCGGAGAUCUAUUGCAGAUGAAGAAACUAUCCUAAGGAUUAGUAGACGC